rnacentral:rRNA from 1 species
UACGUAGGGUGCAAGCGUUGUCCGGAAUUAUUGGGCGUAAAGAGCUCGUAGGCGGUCUGUCACGUCGACUGUGAAAUCCCGAGGCUCAACCUCGGGCCUGCAGUCGAUACGGGCAGACUAGAGUUCGGUAGGGGAGACUGGAAUUCCUGGUGUAGCGGUGAAAUGCGCAGAUAUCGGGAGGAACACCGGUGGCGAAGGCGGUUCUCUGGGCCUUACCUGACGCUGAGGAGCGAAAGCGUGGGGAGCGAACAGG